rnacentral:pre_miRNA from 1 species
GAAAACUUGGAAACUACCGUUGGAUCGAGAAAUGGACGUCCGAGAUUCGUCCACGUCACCAUGAGUUAAAAUGGGAGUUAAAUUUUAACUCAUGGUGACGUGGACGAAUCUCGGACGUCCAUUUCUCGAUCCAACGGUAGUUUCUAAGUUUCC